rnacentral:rRNA from 1 species
UACGUAGGGUGCGAGCGUUGUCCGGAAUUAUUGGGCGUAAAGAGCUUGUAGGCGGUUUGUCGCGUCUGCUGUGAAAUCUCAAGGCUCAACCUUGAGCUUGCAGUGGGUACGGGCAGACUAGAGUGUGGUAGGGGAGACUGGAAUUCCUGGUGUAGCGGUGAAAUGCGCAGGAUAUCAGGAGGAACACCGGUGGCGAAGGCGGGUUAC